GACGAACGCUGGCGGCGUGCUUAACACAUGCAAGUCGAACGGAAAGGCCCUGCUUUUGUGGGGUGCUCGAGUGGCGAACGGGUGAGUAACACGUGAGUAACCUGCCCUUGACUUUGGGAUAACUUCAGGAAACUGGGGCUAAUACCGGAUAGGAUCUCCUGCUGCAUGGUGGGGGUUGGAAAGGUUCGGCGGUUGGGGAUGGACUCGCGGCUUAUCAGCUUGUUGGUGGGGUAGUGGCUUACCAAGGCUUUGACGGGUAGCCGGCCUGAGAGGGUGACCGGCAACAUUGGGACUGAGAUACGGCCCAGACUCCUACGGGAGGCAGCAGUGGGGAAUAUUGCACAAUGGGCGGAAGCCUGAUGCAGCAACGCCGCGUGCGGGAUGACGGCCUUCGGGUUGUAAACCGCUUUCGCCUGUGACGAAGCGUGAGUGACGGUAAUGGGUAAAGAAGCACCGGCUAACUACGUG
rnacentral:rRNA from 1 species